GACGAACGCUGGCGGCGUGCUUAACACAUGCAAGUCGAACGGUGACCCAUCUUCGGAUGGUGAUCAGUGGCGAACGGGUGAGUAACACGUGGGCAACCUGCCCCUAGCUCUGGGAUAACUCCUCGAAAGAGGUGCUAAUACCGGAUAUCACCACCAUGGACAUCCAGGGUGGUUGAAAGUUUUUCGGCUAGGGAUGGGCCCGCGGCCUAUCAGCUUGUUGGUGGGGUAAUGGCCUACCAAGGCGACGACGGGUAGCCGGCCUGAGAGGGCGACCGGCCACACUGGGACUGAGACACGGCCCAGACUCCUACGGGAGGCAGCAGUGGGGAAUACUGCGCAAUGGGCGAAAGCCUGACGCAGCAACGCCGCGUGAGGGAUGACGGCCUUCGGGUUGUAAACCUCUUUCAGCAGGGACGAAGCGAAAGUGACUGUACCUGCAGAAGAAGCGCCGGCUAACUACGUGCCAGCCGCCGCCGUAACAC
rnacentral:rRNA from 1 species